rnacentral:lncRNA from 1 species
AUCUAGUGGCAGAAAUCUAUGUCCUCUUGUUAUUACAAUUAUUCUGCUCUCUCUUCAGCAAUGAGACUUUUAUAUCUGGGUUGUAUUGUAGAUGCUUUAUUUGGGAUCCCACAGUCUGUUAUUCUUUGCAGCUAUAAUAAUUGUAAAUUUAUAUACACUCUUUGUACUUGAGGUUAAAAUAAAAAUGCAUCCUUGAAGAAAAGUGAGAGCCACAGUCUUCUGCAGGUAGCUCAAUGAUAAAUGAUCCAGAUUUCUCCUGAAAACAGAAAAUAAUGUGACUUCUAUUUAUUCUGAGUACUUUUUAUUCAUGUUUACUUACCACCCAGUUCUGUUUAUAUUUUAGUUGUUGUCCAUUAACAACCAUUUAUGUAAUAAAAAAAAAACUAUUAUAAAUGUAAGUUUCACCAGAUGUAAUUGUUUUCUUGGAGGCUUACUGCUGAGUUAGCUAACCCCUUCUACUUAUUUCUGAAUCCUGGCUGGCUGGUUCAAUCAGCUGUUCUGCCUCAAAACUUUUCUCCAAGCUGACUGAUUCAAACUGGUUUCAUUUGGCUUCUCAUUGAAUUGCUCUGCUUGGUCUCAACAAAACUCUGUUAAUCUGCUCUUAUCUUCUGGCUCCUCCUCAUUACAUGGUCCAUUCUUUCUUUACUUGCAACCUGUCUUUGUAAAAUUAUCCUAGUAAAACAGCCCCCUUUCUCUGUCUCUCUGUCUCUCUCUCUCCUCCUUUCUCUCUGUCUCUCUCUCCCUCUCUCUUCACUGCACUCUUAAGUGAUUUCUCUUUCCUGUUUGUGCUAGUGACAGUUAGGCAUAUCCUAUCUCUGACUCGUUCUGUCAAAUAUUUCUAUGAUUAGUCACUUUGACCCUCAAAUAGAUGCCACUUUCAGGGUUCUUCCUUCUACAGUCUAACCUUAGGUAUUCCAGCUGGAUCGUGCAUACUGUAAUCAGGAUGUGUCUGCAUUCUGACAGGAUUAUAUAGACAUAGAAUGUCUUUGGAUGCAAUAUCUUUCCAAAACAGCCAUGUUGCUGGAUUAAAAUUCCUCUUCCAAUAAUCUCAAUAUAAAAUUGCUUAUAGUUUUCUAAUAAAUAAACUGGACUUCAAAUGCUACCAUGUUGUAAUUGGAAUUCUGUUUCUGGGUCUUACUAGUGUUCAUACCAUUGUGCCUUAUGACAGGAAUGUUCUCUCAAUGGUCCAUUAACUUUCUCAUUCAGACUGUAUAUACAGUUAUUUUUCUGUGUCACUGUCUUUUCUAGUAGGACAUUUUAUUGCUUAUAGGCCUUCUCCUUUUGCAUAUAGCGUUCUUCCAUAGCAUUUUUUUAAUUUUUAAAAAUAUUUACUUGAUUUCUUUACUGAUUUUUUUUACUAUCUAACUUUCUUAAAAUAAUAUUUUCUUUUAUUUAAAAUUAUUUUACAGUAUUUGUUUUCUACAGCCUCUAAUAUUUCACUUGUGUUCUUAGUCCUAUUAUCAAUUUUCUUUCCCCUGUGGGUUGUUUAAUAUACUCAGUUAUUAGUUUACUUUGUCUUUUGAACCGUCCAUAUUGGUCAUAAAAGCAGCAGCCUUAGAGUCAUUGUGUAGCUUCCAUAAUUCACUGCUUUAUUAAGGCAGAUUGCAUUUGCAGUGUUUUUGUGUAAGAGACACUGAGCCCCUUGUUUAAAAAAAAAGAAAAAAGAAGAAAGACAAUUGAGUUUAGUGAAUUACAAACAGUGUAUACAGGAAAGAGAGAAGAGAGGAGGAGCAGCGGGGAAAGCAAACGCUUUAAAUAUGGUAAGAUUUAUUCAGAAGGAGGGAGGAAUACAAGAGAAGUUUUGCAGCUCUAGACUGAAGGCCAAUACCUUUUACACCAAUCAUCAGUAGAGUGGGAUUGCCAUGAGUUUAAGGCCACUCCUCUAUGUACCCAAUACCAGGCCUGUCAGUGGUUUAUAACAAACUCUGUCUCAAGAAAACAAGAAAUGAAGGGGAAGAAGAGGUGGAGACCAUAUGGAGAGGAGGGUAUGGGGGAAAUUUGAGGAAUGCCUGAAAUUUUUUUUCAAGUGUUUUCCUCAUGUAAUGAAAUCUGAGCAUGUAGGUGUUUGGUUUCUACUUCAUAAUUUGAGUAUGUGCUACUGAGGCACAGGCAGUGAGAUCAGCCACAAGCAUUUAUGCAGCAUUCAUAUUAGUAGAAAAUGCCAACUGAUCAAGUAACGACUUGGCUGUGACACUGUUCGUUACAGUUUUUAUACAUUUAAACAUAAAGAAUGCAUUCUCAGGCUCAGAGGGAAUCCUCUGCACUUCCUUCAAAACUCGAACAUCCCAUUUCCAUAUAUGUUAGCAUAAUUCAUUUAAGUACUUAAAUGGAAUCAUUUCAGCUAAAUGCAUUGGCAAAUUUGGCACUAAACAGAGAGUAGAGAGGGAGAUGGAUAUAAAAGUGUGAAAAAUAAUUUAUAGGAGAUUUUGGAAUGUCAGUUCAGUAUUUCCUUGGAAGCAGAUUAUCCACAACCCUCAUGGUACUAUGUGGCAUACACACACACACACACACACACACACACACACACACACACACAUAUAUAUAUAUAUAUAUAUAUAUAUAUAUAUAUAUAUUCAGAUAUAUAAGAUAUUACAUAUAAAUAUAUAUUAGUAUUAGUGUGUUUUUUGGCAGUGUUGUAUGUAAAUUAGUCAUGCUUUAUAAUACUCAAUAAAAAGUUUUCAAAUAAACUUAGCAUUAUUAAGUUUUGUGUCACUAUGAAUUUGUCCAGUAUAGCAGAUUUC